GAGUUUGAUCCUGGCUCAGAACGAACGCUGGCGGCGUGCUUAACACAUGCAAGUCAGGGAGAAAGUCUCUUCGGGGAUGAUUAAACCGGCGCACGGGUGAGUAACACGUGAGUGACCUGCCUUUUAGACUGGAACAACUUACCGAAAGGUGAGCUAAUGCCGGAUGAGUUAUAUAAGUGCAUGUUUAUAUAGGAAAAGUUGGGGAGACCUGACGCUGAAAGAUGGACUCGCGUCCCAUUAGCUAGUUGGUAGGGUAAUGGCCUACCAAGGCGACGAUGGGUAGCCGGCCUGAGAGGGUGGCCGGCCACACUGGGACUGAGACACGGCCCAGACUCCUACGGGAGGCAGCAGUGGGGAAUUUUGCGCAAUGCUCGUAAGAGUGACGCAGCGACGCCGCGUGAAUGACGAAGGCCUUCGGGUCGUAAAGUUCUUUCGACAGGGAAGAAAAUGCCUAUAAGUAACUGUGUAUGUAUUGACGGUACCUGUAUAAGCAGCCCCGGCUAACUCCGUGCCAGCAGCCGCGGUAAUACGGAGGGGGCGAGCGUUGUUCGGAGUGACUGGGCGUAAAGAGCACGUAGGCGGUGUUGUAAGUCAUUAGUCAAAGACUAGAGCUCAACUUUAGUAAGGCUAGUGAUACUAUAAUACUAGAGUAUCAGAGAGGAUUGCAGAAUUCCUGGUGUAGCGGUGAAAUGCG
rnacentral:rRNA from 1 species